rnacentral:ncRNA from 12 species
AGCUAUUGAGGUAGAAAAGGUUCUCUACACGCAACUUCGGUUGUUAUCAGAGAUGAGGGGUUGACCGUCCUUCCAAUAGCA